rnacentral:snoRNA from 1 species
GACAAUGAUGUUAUGAUCCUAUUCCAUUGCUGAACACUCACAAUGUUGAAAAGUCCUGACUGACGUC